rnacentral:rRNA from 1 species
CGUGCCUAAUACAUGCAAGUCGAGCGAACAGACGAGGAGCUUGCUCCUCUGACGUUAGCGGCGGACGGGUGAGUAACACGUGGAUAACCUACCUAUAAGACUGGGAUAACUUCGGGAAACCGGAGCUAAUACCGGAUAAUAUAUUGAACCGCAUGGUUCAAUAGUGAAAGACGGUUUUGCUGUCACUUAUAGAUGGAUCCGCGCCGCAUUAGCUAGUUGGUAAGGUAACGGCUUACCAAGGCAACGAUGCGUAGCCGACCUGAGAGGGUGAUCGGCCACACUGGAACUGAGACACGGUCCAGACUCCUACGGGAGGCAGCAGUAGGGAAUCUUCCGCAAUGGGCGAAAGCCUGACGGAGCAACGCCGCGUGAGUGAUGAAGGUCUUCGGAUCGUAAAACUCUGUUAUUAGGGAAGAACAAAUGUGUAAGUAACUAUGCACGUCUUGACGGUACCUAAUCAGAAAGCCACGGCUAACUACGUGCCAGCAGCCGCGGUAAUACGUAGGUGGCAAGCGUUAUCCGGAAUUAUUGGGCGUAAAGCGCGCGUAGGCGGUUUUUUAAGUCUGAUGUGAAAGCCCACGGCUCAACCGUGGAGGGUCAUUGGAAACUGGAAAACUUGAGUGCAGAAGAGGAAAGUGGAAUUCCAUGUGUAGCGGUGAAAUGCGCAGAGAUAUGGAGGAACACCAGUGGCGAAGGCGACUUUCUGGUCUGUAACUGACGCUGAUGUGCGAAAGCGUGGGGA